AAUAUUCAACCCGCAGUGUCUUAUCCGCUCCCUUCCCUCCAGAUUCUGUACAGUACGCCGCCGGCCGCCGUUCUUCUCCGCCCGUCCGCCGCCGUGGCCGAUCCGGGAGACGGUGCUGGACAGCGUGGCGGCGUACCACCACCAGCAGCGGAUGCGCCGCAGGUUCCGCAAGAGCCUCUCCUGCCCGCUACACAAGGCUCACCGGCGGUGCAGCGGGAUUUUGCUCGACCGCAACCCCAAAUCCCCUCCUACCCGACCUAGCGCCGCCACCCACCAGAGCCCAUCCUCUCCUCGGCUGGAUGCCCAUCGGCGCAACCUGGCCAGAUGCAGCACGCGCACGAGCAUCCACUUGGUCGCCUCGAGCCGGGCAAGGAAGUUGGGCACAACGAGCGGCUCAUGGAGGCCUUGGUCGUCGGGGAUGGGGCAGAGCACAUGCGGAGGCCGGACUCGCGCCCCAGCACCUCCACAACAAGUGUGCGUCGCGAGCGAUCUUCGGUGAGGCCGUGGCGACGGGGAGUACCUGGUGGCGCUUAAUGCGACGACACCGCUAAGUAACUGCGUCCACUGAUGCUGGCUUGGCAUCUUCCACUCUGCUGUCGAAGGUGGUUUGGUGCAUGACGAGAUUUUUCAUAGUAAUCAUAACAUUUCCUUUCCGAUGAGAGUAUAAGCUGAAACUAGACACAUCCCCAUCAGGUAAAUUGAUUCAUGUUCUUACUUCAUGUCCAGACAGCAAGAUGAAACUUAAUAUUUUGUAGUCUGGAGUUUUGCAGAUACUUUUGCUAGUGUAUUUGUUGGAUCUUGAAUUUCAUAUAUUUUCAUAUUUGUCUUACACAUGUUAAAGAACCGGAUCCAGAACAUUGCCAAGGGAAAGCCCAAAGUCUUCUUGUGAAACUAGAUUAAUUGUACAAGAUUGAAUGGGACCAAACAUUAUACAUGAUAAUCGUUUCUUUGAAGUUUGAAGGUGGCGCGUGAAGUCUUUUAAAUUAUAUAUUCAUUUAAUUCAGUUGGAGAGGAAUACAUUCUGUUAAAAAUUAACAUGAUAUUUUAGUAUGAUUGGUCCUUUUGGAGUACACUCAUAGCACAAAAUAAUUAUUUGGUGGCCUCAUACAUGUUUGUUGCGCCUACCCUUUGCAGCACAGCAGCGACAACAUGCUUGGCCAUGUCUUAAUUUCGGUGUCUGAGAGCACAAAAUUGCAUGACUUUCAGAUGAUCAGAGACAUAGUAGGGUCUCUAUACUGAAGUUAUUAUGAGUCAACCUAAUAUUUUGUUCUGUUUAUUGCAAAUAGAACCAGAAGCCGAGAUGCAAAUACGCAAUUAAACAUAGAAUCUUUAUGUGGUGUGAACAAGAUGAACAACAUGAGAAAAUGGAGCGGGAAUCGGAAUCGAAUGGAAAACAGAGUUAACGGCUCAGAUCAGCGACAUGAACUCCUCAAUUUUCCCUAUUAUAUUAGCCCAAGGAUGGAGUAUCUUUAUCCUGCUCUUGCCAAUGGGAUACGAAAGGCGCUCUUCCAUCCAAUUCCUCGACCCGGUCAACCCAAGUACAUUGUGAAUGGUGCUUGAUUGUAGCGAAGCGUCAUUGAAUUAAAUGUAUUUACGAGUUAUAAAUGUUAUUACUAAUCUUAUAGAGUUGGAAUGUUAUUAAGAGAAUUUCAAUUUGACAAGUGAAAGAUCUUGAUUGGUGCUU